UAUUUAUUUUUUUUGAACGGCAAAUAUAUUAUUAACCAAAUCUCUGCACAAGAUGAACAGAGACUGGUAUAAAAGUAACUACAUAACAAGGCGCCGUAUAUAAGCGGAACGCCAAAAUAUAACACCAAAGCAAACACCACCUAAAAAAGGUCCACCUCCUAAUCCCAAAAUCAGCAAGGCACCCCUUAGAUUUCAGACCACCAAAAGACACCAAUCCAGCCACAAAAGUUGCCACUAGAUCGACUCUAACUCCCGAUCUCGAAUAAAAAAUGACCGGCCCAUCAGAAUCCAAAAAACNNNNN
rnacentral:lncRNA from 1 species